AAGUGUUAAAGGAAGUACAUCACUGUACUCUUUUUAAGAGAGACAAGUUAGAGUGUCCCAGCAUGGCUUUGGGUGUUUGCUCAAUGUGGUCUUAUGCCUGAAACCCUAUUUUGAGGAACAGCAUUGUUCUACAAUUCAGUAGGGUUUUUGUUUGACCUCAUCGUACUAUAAGGACUCUUCACUGGACUAUGGUUUGAUCUGGUUCCACAACUUUGAUUUCUACCUGGAUGAACUCUUGGAUACGGUUGGAGACAAUUUAUGUUUCACUGUUUUUCCUGAACUUUAACCAUCUUCUGACAUUCCCUUAUUAUCGGAACUGUUUGGAUCACUGAGACAUUGCCUAUGUACCUGCAUUCAAGCAGGAUAGGACUGAAUUAUGCUAAUGGGAAGUUGUAAAUGUUUUCUGUUUAUUUAAAUGUAAAUGCUUUACUGUUGACGUCACUGUUUGUGUAUAUAUAUAUAUAUUAGUCUGGGGUUGUCUCACAAAGCUUUAAUACAUCACUGUACUCUUAGAAGCAAGAAUCCUCCCUUUACUUAAUGUGACCCAAAAACUAGGGUUACAACCCUAAAAAAAUAAAUUUUUGUAAAGUAGAAUGUUCUGUUGAACAAACAAGACAUUUUACAUUUAAUGUACUUAACAUUUAGGAAUAAUUGUGUUGAAAAGUGAUUCUUAUUUGCACUAGCAUAAUGUUACAAUAACUAAAAUUUAGCAGUUUAGGUAACCUACUUGCUUUAGUAGACAAAAUUAGUUAGAUAUUUGUUGUAGAGUUUACACUAUACAAUAAACAACAAAAAUGCAAUUAUGGGAUUUAUUUGAAUUUACCAUUUAUUUAAAUUCAAUUCACUUUAUUAUUAUAAAAGAGUAACAAAAACAAAAUGUUUUUUCUUCUACAUUGCAUUAUUACAUACUUGACAGACCCUGAAUAGGCCCAGUAUAUACUCUUACACUGAAUACUGCAUAAACAUUUCCAAAACUCUGAACAGGAGAAGCCUGGACAUGAAAAUACAGUUUGCUAAGACAUAAAAUUUUAGCUCUCUAAUAUUUUUACCUUUUGAUUGAAUAACUUUACUUUGAUGAAUAACUUUUGAUAAAACUUGUUUCAGUUUAGUUAUUUGCAUGUAUGAUUUGGGAUGUUUUGGCCGUUAUGUACACAAAAAAGAUCUGUAUAUGAAAUAUUAAAUUAAUGUGUUUGUCUGACUUUUAAUCUUAUUGCAUUUUAUUAAAAAAAUAUUCAAAAUGA